UCUCUCAUCUCUCGAUCGCGUCCUUUUUCCCCUCAUCAGAAUUCGAUCUCUCUCGCACUCGGGUGUGCAGGAAAUGUUAAAACGAGCAAACAGUCGAGCCAGUAGCACUGCAGAUAAUUACACGAGUCUCUCGUUCGUUUCUUUUAAGCUGCAUUCAAACAGGCUAAUUGCGACGCAGAGCGCAGAUUUUAUACACGGAGAGGCUGACCAAUCGUGCGUGCAAUAUAGAAAGAAUGAUGCUGUGGAUAUCGUUCGCUUUGGACCGGCGAUUGGCCGAUUUCUUUGUACGAGCGCGGACUAUGUUGUGGACGGACCUGAUAAUUACAUAUGUAUAAUAGAUGACCUCGUGAAUGUUUAAAUAACGAUAAAGCGAUAUCAAGUCUCGAACGAAACCGAUCAUUUAGCUUGCGCAAUCCGCAAAAUUGCAGUUAGUAUGAUUUUGUAAUGAUAGUUAUUACGAGAGUUCGGCUAAGACAAUAAUAGUAAUAUGGAUGUAAUACAAUUAAAAAAAUAUUUGUUAAUCUCCAAUGUGUUUCUGUAAUGGAAAUAUAGACAAUAUAUUAAUUUUUAUCACAUA